AACAUUCCUAGUGUGUGAUCGUUAUUAUAAUGUCAAAGUCAGUCACAUAUGAUGUGAAGAACCUGAAAUGCGACCUCCUGAACAGAAUUCCUCACAGAACCGGGUUAGGCUUUGGUGUAAAGCUGGAUUUCACGCUGUAAUGAUGUCUGUCAACUAGUGCUGCGUUAGAGCCACUGUUGCUGAAUUACCGACUGACACAAAAACAACCCGAAUUUUCUCCGAGCCUGACAGAAAUAGUCAAGUGGACCUUUUUUGUCGGCCAGGGCUUUGAGAAAUGUUCCGAUUCGCCGCUGAUUCUAACCUUACAUCCCGUUCCACAUUUUGUGAACUUGACAAAUUAGCCCGAAGGCAGUGCAGACUGAUAUUAGCUAAAUGGAGUGAACCACGUCUCUCAAACUUUGCAUUUAGGUAGGAAAUUGUCUUUAGAAGAUGCUAACUUUUAUUUAGCUUACUCACCUCAGACUGGAGCCCGCCAUGGUGGGGGAGCAGAGUCGGUGGGCUGCAUCUAAUUCGUGGAAGAGCCACGGUGGGCACGGCCUCCCUCUUCAAACGGAGACGUGCAGAAUAACCCAGUUCAAACUCCAUCAUGUUGGCGAAGGAAUCGCGGGUAAAAUGCUGGUUGCAGACUACAGCACCAGGCGGGAGCUGACUGUUUUCCAGUACACCGAUUGCGCGCAACCACUGGCGCCUAAUUUCUAAGUCCAGUGGAAAGGAGUGCAACCCCACAGAGCCACCACAACCAACUACACUACACCUUUUAACCAUACUAACACGAUAUGGAACACUAAACCUGAAUUACUUUCCUAAUAAAACUAACAGCUAAACACUAACUAAACUACAAUAUCUAACAGCCAAGCUAACACUAAAUAAGUAUGUAUAACACUAAAAGCUAUGCUAAAGACUAGAAUAUGCUAAUGAUAUAUGCUAACGAUAUGUAACACUAAACCUGAAUUACUUUCCUAAUAAAACUAACAGCUAAACACUAACUAAACUACAAUAUCUAACAGCCAAGCUAACACUAAAUAAGUAUGUAUAACACUAAAAGCUAUGCUAAAGACUAGAAUAUGCUAAUGAUAUAUGCUAAUGCUGAACUACCGCUAACCGUCCUACACUCGCUUGCAAAUCCAACUCCCAACUCGCCACAGGGCGUGGCCGAGACUCUCGUUGCUUUAUAACUUUGGCACAAGAGCUGCUACGUAGUACUCUACUGGUUUACGUAGUAUCUUACUCUUUAGCCAUUGGCUAAAAUUUAUUCAAAAUGUGUCAAAUUCUGUGUUUUAAGCUGAAGGUGGCGCAUUACUGUGGUUUUUAGGCUGAAAAAUUAAUUUUUAAAGAAAAUGCACCAAAAUGCUAAAAUAAUGAAUACACACAUUUAAAACACUAUUAGACACUCAUUUAUACAGUUCAUCAGCAAAAAAAAGUUAAUUUAGACGUUACUUGCUCUUUAAAUACCAGAGCCUGCAAAAGUGCUACCGCUCACUCCGCCAUCUUAACUCCCCACCUCCCGGCGCUUCGGCGGCCGGUGUGUCCCCGGUGUAAGGCUCCUCCCUUUCCGGUCGGCUCAUGAGGUCCCGGAAGAAGGAAAACAUGAAUGCAAGUCAACGGAGCUAAAAGAGUUAUUUUCUGACCCGCUCAGCCUUAGACCUGGAUCACACAUAUGUUGUACUGCAAAUGAAAACUAAUGAUGGCUGUCUCCACAACGCCUUUCAUUUACUUUGAGAUUUGAAACAAAAAGGGGAGGGGCCGGAGCUCUCGGUUCAGUCUUAUAAUUUAUUAGGUGUAAGAAAAAACUAACGUUUGGACAGAACGUCUUGGUCAGAGUUACAGGCCUUGAUAGAAUUACAGGCAUAUAUAAACAGGUGUGCUGAGGCUGAUUAGACCGAAAACAUACUAGCCUUUAGCUCAUUGGUUGUUGGGCUGGGGAAGAGGCGGGGUCAGCGCCAAAAUAUUAGAGUCAAUAAGUAUCCAUUCAACCCAACCCAGAGUUAUCCAAAAGAUGACUUUCCUGCUCAUCCAUAACAUAAUGAGCCAAAAAUAAAUAUUCUAAAGCAGUUAAAACACCUCAUAUCAAACAUACAGAGAUGUGUAUAAUAACCACGAUGAAACACAUCAAACUGAUGCUAACGAUAAAACAGUAAAACACCUGACUAGAGGAAGCAGGACAGACUAGGUGCUUCGUUCACCCCUGCAGGUUCAAUGGUAUCGAGGGUAUGAAUCCAGUAUGCCUCUCUCCGUAGCAGAAGGCUGAUCAUGUGUCCCCCUCCAGAGGGUGUGGAUACUUUUUCAAUCCCCCAGAAUCUUAAGGACGCCACGGAUCCAUGAUUCACUUGUGCGCAAUGGCAGAACCAAGGACGGUCUGGCCGUUUCCUGUUACUGUUGCUGCUGGAAUGAAGGGCCGACAGCCAGAGUCUGAAAUAUUUGAACAGAUUAGACAUCGUUUGAAACCGCAGAACACAAAUAAGUUUUAACUGAUUAAAUAAUGACUUACAACACAACACCUUUGAAUAAUAUAUAACAAAGUGAAAUUCCAGCAGAAUAAAACUUGCCUGGUGUUCAUGCCAGGGUCUGAGAACCUGUAUGCUUAGGAGCAAAUCUCAGGAUGAGGGAGUGGAGCGACUCUAGUGAGGAUGUCUGGUGCUGCGGGGACAGCUGCCUCAGAACCUUUGCAUCCUGGCUGAAAGGCUGCUUUCUCCAGCGACUGCUGAAGUUGAUCCUGUAGACAAACAAGACACAUUUAGAUAAACCACACAUUAAAUUUACUUCCGGGAAGUUGAACGUGUAGUUGAAACAUCACGAGACCUGGAACUAGCCACUGCUUGUUCCUACUUUGUCCUUCCAGUGGAGGAUGGAGAUAACCUGGAAAGUCAGGUGUCUCGUGUUCAUGGAUGUCCUGAACAUGACUCACAAGUGACUUCCAUUUAGCCUCCAUCAUGUCAGGGUUACCAUCAGGUGUGGCUGCAGUGGUCCGGUACAGAUGGUUCACUAUGGACUGAACUGUUCGGUGCCUUGUUGUCAACGACGCCAUUCACUGUGUCCUCUGUCUUUUCUUUCCCUUUUGGACGCUAACUUCUUGUCUUUAUUCACUAGCCUCAUCCUACAGGCUACAGCUACACAAACAUUAGCCCUUAGCAGCUCACCCAGAUGCUAAUGAGCUUCUCUUCACGAGGCUGAAGUUAGUUUCUGAUUCAGGAAAUGGCUAAAGGCCAAUUACAGCCAUUUUUCUCUACUCUGACCAUCUUUCAUCUGCUCUACCUCAAAGACUACAGCACAUUCACUCUUCAAACCUGUGCUAGAUUAUUCUAGACCAGACCCUUUGAGAUCCAGAGUGCAGACACUCCCAUAGACUUCAGUAAAAAGAAUGUAAUGUGGAAGUAACGUCGGCCGUGGAGCUUCGGAUACUUCCAAACACCAAUAGUUCCACCAUUGAACGCUGUUCAUUCUCGGACUUUCAGAGCUCCGCCUCCAACAAAAUAAGUCAAUAGUGAUUUUUCCUGUAGCCAGUUUUAGUUCAUUUAUCGUGUUAACCGGCUAAUCGUAGUUUUAACUGCAGCUAGCUUAUAGUUAGCGGCCUGUUUUAGUGGGUUAAACUAAAACUUAUUCAGCAGUUUUAAACGUUUAUGUUUAGAGUUGUGUAAAUUAUUCUGACAUUUUUAGUUCAACAUAUAUUCUAUUAAGUCACGAUUUUGUCCGUGUGUAAAGAUCAGAGUGGUAGCGGAGCAACGAAUCUUCAUCAGACACGUUUUAACUUCCUUUGUCCCUGCUGCUCUGUAACUCGCUCCAACUCCAGUGACUAAACCAUCUCAACUAGAGAAAAGCUGUUUUUAUUCUGAGAUGGCUGCUGCUAGUUUAGUUAGAGAUGUAGAUCUUUUAACAGACAGCAGCAUAAAUGAGAUCAUGAACAUGAGUAAUUAUUUCAUAUGUUUCAGUUAAACCACCUGAUGCUGACUUCUGUAACCUGCUGAAGCACGUUACACACUCAGGAUCACCAUGGUAACACCAUGUGUCCUCCAGGAUAACCAGGGCUGAAUCAGGACAUCUGAACAACAGAACCUUUACAGGCUCUGAUCAUGAGUGGUGAGGAGCAACAACCAGGUUGGUGGAAGCUGCAGGUAAGGUCAGCGAUGGAGUAAAAGCUGGUAGUGGACUGGUGGGUGAUGGGGAGACUAUCAAAAUAAAAUUCAUAUUAAAGUGAUCAGGAGCUAAUAUUAGCACUGUAGCGUCUUUUCUGAGGUUUCCUGCAGAUGUUAAGAUUCUCUAUGAAUGUAAGAACUUUUAUAGGAUCACUGGUAUUAAAAUGAAAGGUAAGAGACCUAAAAACCCUCCAAACACACCACUCACCUGUACUGGUGCUGGAGCGUUGGUGGGGGUGUGCUUGUUGACAUGCUAGAUGCUGUUUUUACGGAGCCCGUCUGGUGACAUUGAGGGGAAAAAAAAGAACUCGUGGCCACGACUUGUAAAUGCACGAGUGUGUGUGUUCCAGAGAUCGGCUUUCCUGAAAUGAUCUCUUAAAAGCCCCCAAAUCAUUAACUUUGAGCUAAUAUUAGGUUUUAUCAUAAGGUUGCUGAUAUUUAUUUUAAAGAAUAAUAACCAGUUGUUUUACUUAAUUAAUCAGAUCAUCCAAUAGCGCAGGUGAUGCGUCUUUUCUUUCAGCCCCACAGACAAAGAUAGUAGAUAAAGUGUGUGUCCUCUGUUGUUGGUAGUGACUGACUUACUUUCAUGUGUUUGAAUGACUUAUUGGUGUAUUAAUUGUGUCACGCGCGACUGCGCAUCUGUGAACCAAUAAACUGCACAUAGCGGUCAGAGGCACACAUGUGGGAGAACAGGAGUUCUGACAGAACACCGGCUCAUUCCAGCGGGGUUAGCCGACAGGCGGGCUGAUAUCUGUUUGGUAUGAAAAACAUUUCCUGACUAAAACCCUUUUGGGUUCAAAUGUUUGCGUUAGAUCUGGAAAAGACAGCGAUCUCUCCCAGCGCACCAUGAGAAUAUUUAUUAUCUUAGGCUUCUGACCACUUUUUAAAAGCUGUUUAUUUAUCUAUAUUUGGUGAUGUGGCGCUAGAAAACCAUAAAACAUAUUUUCGUGCUCAUACGUCACAAGCCAGUUCUUGGAUUUCCCAUCUCAGUUAUGGAUACCCGUGACAUGCCGUCAAUAGGCUGAUUUUUUUCAGCACCAUGGAUAGCAGCGUCAUACGUCGUGUCCUGUGUCAACGCCACUUGCUAAACCAGACGCCGGAAGACAUUGGAAAAUGUUACGAACCUCCGGCACGCCGGUCAGGGCGUGGCCGUAGAAGUGGGCAGAGCCACAGUCUGCGACAGGUGUGAAGGGAUGCAGCUGAAGCACAUCGGCAAUCAGCGUCUGGAGGACAUGAGGUUGCAACAUUCUCAUAGUCGUGAUGCGCUCAGGCUUCAGUUUUGUCUUGCUUCUCUGACUAAAUGAUGUCAUCAUUGUUUUGGAUAAACAUACGCUUUAAUUUAUGUUUAUUUACAACAGAAAAUGACUUAAUAUGGAAGAACCGUGUGGGAAUCGCUGUGAGGUUACAGAAAGAUGUGAGGGAGCAGGAGGAGAAAAAUGUCUGGGGAUGGGGAGGAAUGGCUGGUUGGACUUAAGCCCUCCAGGGAGCCGGCAGCCGGCUCCUCCACUGACUGUCUCCCUGACAGUGAAGCUAAACGAGACUUUAUUAAUUGUUUAUUCCUAAACACUGACUGACUUAUAUUACAGCCGAAACAAAUCUUCCUGGUAUCAGGAUCAUGUCUCUGACCCUCCUCUCUAACUGGAGAGUUAGCUAACAAGCUAACAUGCUGAAGAGAGGUUUUCUGGUUCCACCCUUUGAAGAGUUUUGGUUCACUAUCAUCAGAAAUGCAGUUUUAGGUUAAAUAAAGGUUCUAAGAACAUUUAAAGAAGAAAUAAAUAGAAGAGCAGGAAUAACACAGGAGGAAUGAAGACAAUAGCAUUGACCUCUCUUGUACAGUGUUGUGUAGACGCUAAUCUACAUGUCUCUGCAGGCUGGGCCGGUUACACAGUCUCUGCAGGCUGGGCCGGAGCGGCCCUCAAAACCACCAUCGGAACCGGAGACCAUGGAGACGCCGGACAGGACGGAGGGUCGACCUCCUGAGUGCAGACAGCAUCCUCAGAUGAGCCGACUUCAGACGAGGCGACGUCGUCAGACGAGCCGACUUGGGAGGCGACGCCACCGGACGAGCCGACCUGGGAGGCGACGUCUUCGGACUAGCCGACUUCAGAGGAGGACGCGACGUCAUCGGACGAGCCGACUUCAGAGGAGGAGGCGACGUCAUCGGACGAGCCGACUUCAGAGGAGGGGGCGACGUCAUCGGACGAGCCGACUUCAGAGGAGGGGGCGACGUCAUCGGACGAGCCGACUUCGGAGGGGGGCGACGUCAUCAAACGAGCCGACUUCGGAGGGGGCGUCAUCAGACGAGCCGACUUCAGAGGAGGAGGCAUCGGACGAUCCGACUUCAGAGGAGGCGGCAUCGGACGAUCGUCUUCCGAUGCGUCACCGGUGAUCCUGGUGACGCAUCGGCGUUAAAGGGUUAAAAACUAAAUGAAAACAAAGUGCGUCAAUCCUGACCAAUGUGUUAAAAGAUGUGCAGGAUCCGAUCAAUUUGUUUUUCCCUCAUUUACAGUCACGGACAUAACGGCACACUGGCUCUGGUGUUAAUCAAGUUAAAUUUAAUCUCUUUCCAACAAUUUUCACAAGAAAACAGAACAGUUAAAAGCAGGGCUUGUGUUGUGUUGACCGGAUAUUUCCCGUAUUUGACCGUUUAUUUUGACGGAGAAAGAAUAGAAAGAAUACGCAUGCAGACGAACUGACAUUUUAUUGCAGAUGUAGCUAAAUCACCUGAGAAAAGAUUCCCAUCUGAACAUCUGAGCUGGACACUGCUCAGCGCAGCUCACUGUCAGCGCAUACAUAAGGUGCACAGCGAGCUGAAGAUGUGGAGAGGAGCUUGGAGCGCAUCGCAGAACCAGGGCGCAUGCGGGAAGGUUCCUCCCACUGAAGCAAGUGUUUUCCUAACCCUGUCUCUCAGAGAGACUGUCAGAAAAUGUUCCCUGAUUAUGAAACUUUGGCUGAAUAGUGCUUGUUCCUGUCUCCAAUGUGGCAACGCAUCCCUGAGCCUGUCUGAGGAGAAGCCCAGAAUCUCACAUCCUCUUCAGCUCAGAAAAUGCCAAUUAUGAAAAAGCGUGACCUGUCAACCCGGUCUCACAGUAAGACCGGGUUGGAACUGUUCAGGUUUACGCAGACAAUCUUUACAUUUAGAAUUGACUUACAGAUAUAAAAUUAAUUCAGUAAAAUAUAAAGCAUUUUAUUUAAAUAUCCAUUCAUUAUUUUACAAGCACAGAGAGCCACACCAGGAUGGAUGGAAGAGCCGCGGGUUGCCGACCCCUGGUAUAGCCUAUAAAAUGACAUGUUUUCUCCAGGACCACAGAGGACACAAACUCAAUACAUGUCUUUUAUUGUGAGGUAAUAAUUUCUCAGAGUUUUGCGGUUGCGGGCGGGAGUAGACAUGCACACAGCGGGUGCGGGCGGGAGUAUAACACACGUUGCGGUUGUAAUGGUCAAAAAUUCAGCGGGAGUGGGCAGGAGCGGGAUAUUUAAUAAAGAUAAUUAAGAAAGUGACACAACAUGAAAAUGUACUCUGUUGUGAACACAGAUGACUUAAUGAGGCGAGGAGGAAGCUCCCUCUUGCUGAGGAGCAGACAGACCUCCAGUCUGAGGCGGAAGCCAUUGAAAGGCCUCAAAGAAGAAUUAAGCCAAGCAUAUGUCCAGGACCGGGCCUCAUCAGAGGAUGAAGCCCAGACCCCUGGAAGAGGGCUUCCCCCACCCCCAGCCAUCCCCCCAGUGAGGAGAAGGUUCAUCCUCCCCAAUACAAUAACCUGUACCUCUGCCUGACCUGACCAAUUACCAGCAUGUCAUGACCCUGGGGACAUCAUUGCGGCAGGCCAUUGACCUGCAGGGUCACCAGGGAACCCAGGGGGUUCCAGUUCCAACUCCCUCUUCAUCUGGUGGGAUGAUGAGGGAGGAACCGGCUCUCCAGGUGCCUACAGUUUGCCCCAACUCCUCUCCAGGGCAGUGGCAGCAGAGGGAUGACAUGACAUCUCUCCUGCAUGAAGUCCUGGUGAAACAGGAAAUAAUCCUUCAGCAGCAGCGCGGCCUCACCAAAAUGGUGCAGGACCUUUUGUUGCUGUUGCUGCUCUUCAGGGCCUGACCACAGGGGGAAGUGUGGAGACCAGGCACCAUGGCAUCUACCCCUUGGCAGAUGUUCAGGCCCUGAUGGCCCUGGAGAGGGAGCUUGGAAUCAGUCCAACAUUGGCCCAUGAAUUGGGUUCAACACUCGGCCUUGCGGGGGGGUCCACAGUUAAGGACACGGUGUGGCGGGUCCUCAAAGGAGCCAUGACUAAUGCCCUCGCCGAGGGCAAAAUGGGAAGGUGGCCUUUGAGAGGCUCCACCUAAAAGGCAUUGUAAUUGCUGCAGUGAGAAGGAAUCCAGUCUGUGUGGUGUCUACAGAGGCAUAAAUUGUAAAUACAAUUAAAAAAUGGUUCUACUGGGCUGGGGAUGGGGACGGAGGGCGCAAAAGGAGAAUGCCCACCCAACCAACCCCUCAACCAGCCCAGGACUCAGUCCAGGACUGACCUUUACAAAAAUAAAUAAAUAAAAUAUUCAAAUUUUA